UGCCUUAGUACGGCGAGUGAAGCGGCAAAAGCUCAAAUUUGAAAUCUGGCACCUUCGGUGUCCGAGUUGUAAUUUGAAGAAGCUACUUUGGGGCUAGUCCUUGUCUAUGUUCCUUGGAACAGGACGUCAUGGAGGGUGAGAAUCCCGUAUGGCGAGGAGUCUAGUCCUAUGUAAAGUGCUUUCGACGAGUCGAGUUGUUUGGGAAUGCAGCUCUAAGUGGGUGGUAAAUUCCAUCUAAAGCUAAAUAUUGGCGAGAGACCGAUAGCGAACAAGUACAGUGAUGGAAAGAUGAAAAGAACUUUGAAAAGAGAGUGAAAAAGUACGUGAAAUUGUUGAAAGGGAAGGGCAUUUGAUCAGACAUGGUGUUUUGCGACCCUCGCUCCUUGUGGGUGGGGAUCUCGCAGCUCACUGGGCCAACAUCAGUUUUGGCGGUAGGAUAAAUCUUUGGGAACGUGGCUUGUCUUCGGAGAAGCGUUAUAGCCCAGGGGAAUACUGCCAGCCGGGACUGAGGACUGCGACUUUUGUCAAGGAUGUUGGCAUAAUGGUUAAAUGCCGCCCGUCUUGAAACACGGACCAAGGAGUCUAACGUCUAUGCGAGUGUUUGGGUGUAAAACCCGUACGCGUAAUGAAAGUGAACGUAG
rnacentral:rRNA from 1 species